UCACAGCACUUAAAGCUUAUGAUGACCC
rnacentral:sRNA from 1 species